rnacentral:rRNA from 1 species
AGUGAACGCUGGCGGUAGGCCUAACACAUGCAAGUCGAACGGCAGCACAGUAAGAGCUUGCUCUUACGGGUGGCGAGUGGCGGACGGGUGAGGAAUACAUCGGAAUCUACUUUUUCGUGGGGGAUAACGUAGGGAAACUUACGCUAAUACCGCAUACGACCUACGGGUGAAAGCAGGGGAUCUUCGGACCUUGCGCGAUUGAAUGAGCCGAUGUCGGAUUAGCUAGUUGGCGGGGUAAUGGCCCACCAAGGCGACGAUCCGUAGCUGGUCUGAGAGGAUGAUCAGCCACACUGGAACUGAGACACGGUCAAGAGUCCUACGGGAGGCAGCAGUGGGGAAUAUUGGACAAUGGGCGCAAGCCUGAUCCAGCCAUCCCGCGUGGGUGACGAAGGCCUUCGGGUUGUAAAGACCUUUUGUUGGGAAAGAAAAGCAGCAGGUUAAUACCCCGCUGUUCUGACGGUACCCAAAGAAUAAGCACCGGCUAACUUCGUG